rnacentral:lncRNA from 1 species
GUAAAGCCAAUGACUCCCAAGGUUGUUACCCUCUGGUACCGAGCCCCAGAGCUGCUGCUUGGAACUACUACCCAGACUACCAGCAUCGACAUGUGGUAGGAGUGGUUUCUGCUCCUAGGGCCUCAAGUCACCUGGCCCUGGAGGUCAGCCCUGGUCAGGGGGAUCAGGACUGGUGUGGUGGGGAUGAACCUGACUGUGGUCCCCCGGGGGCGUGAGAACAUGUCUGGAGUGCUCACUCACUGUCUCGGGCCUCAGGUUCUCGAGAGGCACUGCAGACCUGGGGGAGAGCCUUAUGGCCUGCCUACUUCUUGAGUGUGUUGCUAUGAUGCUAAGCAGAGAUUGGCUGCUCCUACAGGGCUGUUGGCUGCAUCCUGGCAGAGCUGCUGGCCCAUAAGCCCCUUCUCCCUGGCACUUCCGAGAUCCACCAGAUCGACUUGAUCGUACAGCUGUUGGGGACACCGAGUGAGAAUAUCUGGCCUGUGGGUGUUACAGACUCCAUCUAUGUCACCACCUCAGUCCCCAUCCAUGCUUAGUGGCUCUGUCACUCCAGCCCCUGCCUCUCACAGGGUUUCUCCAAGCUGCCCCUGGCCGGCCAGUACAGCCUGAGGAAACAGCCCUACAACAACCUCAAGCACAAGUUCCCAUGGCUCUCAGAGGCCGGACUGCGCCUGCUCAACUUCCUCUUCAUGUAUGACCCUAAGAAAAGGUACAGCCCUCACCUGUAGGUGGCUCCAUGGGCCCAACCCCUGACUUCUGCAGAGAUGGAAGGACACCGUAAACCCAGAUCCUUAAUUCACCUUUUAUGGUGUUGGAAUGGAAACUAAGGCCUUCCUUGCACACACACUAGGCAGGCAGUCUAGCACUGAGCCAUCUCAAUUCAACAAAUGUUUUAAAGACGGUUUCUCAUG